rnacentral:rRNA from 1 species
UAGGGAAUCUUCCACAAUGGACGAAAGUCUGAUGGAGCAACGCCGCGUGAGUGAUGAAGGGUUUCGGCUCGUAAAACUCUGUUGUUGGAGAAGAACAGGUGAUAGAGUAACUGUUAUCAUCUUGACGGUAUCCAACCAGAAAGCCACGGCUAACUACGUGCCAGCAGCCGCGGUAAUACGUAGGUGGCAAGCGUUGUCCGGAUUUAUUGGGCGUAAAGCGAGCGCAGGCGGUUUUUUAGGUCUGAUGUGAAAGCCUUCGGCUUAACCGGAGAAGGGCAUCGGAAACCGGGAGACUUGAGUGCAGAAGAGGACAGUGGAACUCCAUGUGUAGCGGUGAAAUGCGUAGAUAUAUGGAAGAACACCAGUGGCGAAGGCGGCUGUCUGGUCUGUAACUGACGCUGAGGCUCGAAAGCAUGGGUAGCGAACAGGAUUAGAUACCCUGGUAGUCCAUGCCGUAAACGAUGAGUGCUAAGUGUUGGAGGGUUUCCGCCCUUCAGUGCUGCAGCUAACGCAUUAAGCACUCCGCCUGGGGGAGUACGACCGCAAGGUUGAAA